GGCUCAGAACGAACGCUGGCGGCGUGCUUAACACAUGCAAGUCGAACGAGAAGUACGUAGCAAUACGUAUUGUAAAGUGGCGCACGGGUGAGUAACACGUGGGUAAUCUGCCCUCGAGUUUGGGAUAACCCCGCGAAAGCGGGGCUAAUACCGAAUAAGACCACGGGGACCAAAGUCCCUGAGGUAAAAGAUGGCCUCUAUUUAUAAGCUAUCACUUGAGGAUGAGCCCGCGGCCCAUUAGCUAGUUGGUAGGGUAACGGCCUACCAAGGCUAUGAUGGGUAGCUGGUCUGAGAGGACGAUCAGCCACACUGGAACUGAGACACGGUCCAGACUCCUACGGGAGGCAGCAGUGGGGAAUAUUGCGCAAUGGGCGAAAGCCUGACGCAGCAACGCCGCGUGGGGGAUGAAGGUUUUCGGAUUGUAAACCCCUUUCGACCGGAACGAAUCUCCUCCUGGUAAAUAAUCAGGAGGAUCGACGGUACCGGGAGAAGAAGCCACGGCUAACUCUGUGCCAGCAGCCGCGGUAAGACAGAGGUGGCAAGCGUUGUUCGGAUUUAUUGGGCGUAAAGCGAACGCAGGUGGUUUGGUAAGUCAGGGGUGAAAGCCCACAGCUUAACUGUGGCACUGCCUUUGAUACUGCCUUUCUUGAGUGCAUGAGGGGGAAGCGGAAUUCCGAGUGUAGAGGUGAAAUUCGUAGAUAUUCGGAGGAACACCGGUGGCGAAGGCGGCUUCCUGGCAUGUAACUGACACUCAUGUUCGAAAGCGUGGGUAGCAAACAGGAUUAGAUACCCUGGUAGUCCACGCCCUAAACGAUGGGCACUAGGUGUGGGAGGUAUCGACCCCUUCCGUGCCGCAGCUAACGCAUUAAGUGCCCCGCCUGGGG
rnacentral:rRNA from 1 species